GACGUAGGGCGCGAGCGUUGUCCGGAUUUAUUGGGCGUAAAGAGUCGCUAGAGCGGUUUGUCGCGUCUGCUGUGAAAACGCGAGGCUCAACCUCGCGCCUGCAGUGGGUACGGGCAGACUAGAGUGCGGUAGGGGAGAUUGGAAUUCCUGGUGUAGCGGUGAAAUGCGCAGAUAUCAGGAGGAACACCGAUGGCGAAGGCAGAUCUCUGGGCCGUAACUGACGCUGAGGAGCGAAAGCAUGGGGAGCGAACAGG
rnacentral:rRNA from 1 species